UACGAAGGGGGCUAGCGUUGCUCGGAAUCACUGGGCGUAAAGCGCACGUAGGCGGCUUAUUAAGUCAGGGGUGAAAUCCUGGAGCUCAACUCCAGAACUGCCUUUGAUACUGAUGAGCUUGAGUUCGGGAGAGGUGAGUGGAACUGCGAGUGUAGAGGUGAAAUACGUAGAGAUUGGGAAGAACACCAGUGGCGAAGGCGGCUAUCUGGACGGUUUCUGACGCUAAGACGCGAAAGCGUGGGGAGCAAACAGG
rnacentral:rRNA from 1 species